CGGCCGCGGUACCCUAACCGUGCGAAGGUAGCACAAUCACUUGUUCUUUAAAUGAGGACUAGUAUCAAUGGCAUCACGAGGAUCCUACUGUCUCCCCCCUCCAAUCAGUGAAACUGAUCUCUCCGUGAAGAAGCGGGGAUAUUUAUAUAAGACGAGAAGACCCCAUGGAGCUUUAAACCCGAUGACACCCAUUUAUACCCACACCCUAAUAUUCCAUUUGGUUAUGUUCCUUCGGUUUUAGGUUGGGGUGACCACGGAGUAUAGCACAUCCUCCAUGAAAAAGGGAAUAAUAAUCCUUAUUAGAGAACAACACUUCAAAAAAUUAAUACACUAAUUUACAAUGAUCCGAUAUUCGAUCAACGAACCAAGUUACCCUGGGGAUAACAGCGCAAUCCACUUCAAGAGCUCCUAUCGACAAGCGGGUUUACGACCUCGAUGUUGGAUCAGGGUAUCCCAGUGGUGCAGCAGCUACUAAAGGUUCGUUUGUUCAACGAUUAAAACCCU
rnacentral:rRNA from 1 species